rnacentral:rRNA from 1 species
UCGCAUCUGUGCAUGCAGCAUAUCAAUAAGCGGAGGAAAAGAAACUAACAAGGAUUCCCCUAGUAACGGCGAGUGAAGCGGGAAGAGCUCAAAUUUGAAAUCUUAAAGGGUUUCCCUUUACGAAUUGUAGUUUAAAGAAGUGUUUUCUGUUGAGGUUUUGGUAAAAGUUCUUUGGAAUAGGACAUCAUAGAGGGUGAGAAUCCCGUAUUUGACCUUUACUUUCAACUUUGUGAUACACUUUCAAAGAGUCGGAUUGUUUGGGAAUGCAGUCCAAAAUGGGUGGUAAAUUUCAUCUAAAGCUAAAUAUUGGCGAGAGACCGAUAGCGAACAAGUACCGUGAGGGAAAGAUGAAAAGAACUUUGAAAAGAGAGUUAAACAGUACGUGAAAUUGUCAAAAGGGAAGCGUUUGACACCAGGUGCUGUUUUUCUGAAAAUCAAUUAAAGAACUGUUUAUGCUAAGCUGUUUAGACUUUAUCAGCUAUCUGUUUAGUUUUGAGCUUUUCUUUAAUGCACUUUUCAGUUAACAAGUCAACAUCAAUUUCUUUUGCUGUAAAAAAGUUUGAGGAAGGUGGCUUGAGAUUCGUCUUAAGUGUUUAUAGCCUCUUGCCUAUGCAGUCGGAGAGAUUGAGGUCUGCAGCGUAGAUCCUUCGGGGCUAAAUGCAUUUGUGCUAAGUUAUAGCAUUUUAUAGACAACUUGUUGACUAUGAUUUGUCUUGUAGCUUACUCGCUUAUGUUAUUUUACCUACGCUUAGGAUGUUGAAUCUGUGCGAGACUAC